GCGCAUCUGGAGCCUGUGCUCCGUGAUGGGAGAGACCACGACGAUUGGUGUCAGGGUUCACCACAGUUCCAGAGGAGGUUGACCUGACCAUCAGCAGGGCUACUUAGAGGCCUGGUCCUUCUUCACAGUGAGUGGGCUUGGGCCCAACUCUGAAUCCAGCCAUGCAAACACUGCCCAUGAAGCCCUAGCAGGGCUACCAAGAAAAAACUACUGAGACAUCAAGACAUUGUGAAUGGAGAAUGUUUGGGAGCCUCUGGAUUAAACUGUCCUUGCUUUUGUCUGUAUGUGGCUAAGAGUUCUCUUGUGGGUCAUUGCUGCCAUUUUAAAAUUUACUUCUGUUUAUCUUAGUAGUAGUAUCUUUUAUCCGUGUUUAUACUGUA